rnacentral:lncRNA from 1 species
UUAGCACAAAAUAAUUUUUAAAACAACUAAUUAAUCAUUCCACAUCCAUGCAUGUAUACACAUUAAAGGCUGGAUGCCAACAGUCAAGCUUUGUGUGCAUAUUUGGAAAAGGCAAGGAAUAUUUGAAAGGCCCAUUCUUUCUUUGGCCUUCCCAUAUUUAUCAUCCAUAUAUUCAACAUAAACUUGAUUCAUCAAUUGUUCUUCACUUAUUUACUCCACAAAGUGAAAACCACCCAGAUUUGAUGUACACAUUAAUUGCAUUCUAUUUUAUUCCACCCUUCUGCUUUCAUACUUCUUCAUUCAAAACAGAAUCCUAUCCUGUCACUUCUUUGUGGUUCUAGGACAGAAUUCACAUACUAAAUAUCAUAAGGAACAACUUAAUGGAUGAGACUAUUCAAUGUUCAAUGUUAAAAUGUCAGCUACUAUGCUAAGUAGAUGGAUGAUGGAGGAAAGAAGUUACAAAUGAUGUCUGCCUAGAAAUUGAUUUAUUCUCAGCAGAUGGGUACCUCAGUCUGUGAGCACAGAUAGGCCAUGUUCAUAUGGAUUAUAUAUUACCUGUCAGUACUUUGUCUGCAUGGAAGAAUCAAAUUAAAAUAUAAAACCCAUAAAAAACUAUUAAACAUGGCUUCUAUUGAAGUCAAACUGAUUAUAUUGUUCAGGAAUUCCAUUUUAUAUAUAUUAGUAUUGAUCAUUCUGCAGCUGAUAUGCCAUUGAAAAAAUUUUCUCCAUUUUUUUAUCAAGAAAGAAAUUCAUAACAUUCCACUAGAUAUUCUUAAUAUAUUAAAAAGAUUAAGAUUUAGUGACUUGUUGCUGGAUGUUCACCA